rnacentral:lncRNA from 1 species
CUGUAAUAAUUUUGCAACAGCAGUUUUAAUAGUCUCUAGUGAAGAACUGAUGACUUGGACAGAACAAAGGCCUCCCAGGAUACAAGAGCACUGAGCUGGGUGGCAGGAUGCCAACAGCACCCCCAGGGCUGGCCACUUUGUCUAGAUUGUUAAACAGAGAUAAAACCACAGAUACAGGGAGCAGGACCAGGUGAUUGUUACACUUUUAUAACUCCUUGACUUUUCAUACUACUAAAAUCUCUCCUGAUAAAUUCUCUGCCUGCCAUUUAAGACUAUUUCUGGUCUGGCCUAUCCCAACUCUUCCAACUUUAUGUCUUCCUGGUCCCCAGGCCCAUUCUCUGCCUGAUUCCAGGAUAAUGCUACACUGUCCAUAUACCACAUUUUCUUUUCUUGGCCUUUGCCUGGCUUGUGUCCCUCACUCAACUGUCCCUUCCUCUCCCUUGACCUCUCAGAUUCUACCACUCCCGCUAAGCCAGGGCCAACUGUUUUCUCCAGAAACACUCUGCCUCCUCCAGUUCUCAGUGACCAAUUAUCUGGAUGCCCACAGAAGCUUACUGUAGUGUCCUAUAUUUUCUAGCAAUUUUUUCACUUUAAACAUAGAAACAAGGACCUUAAUAAUUAAUAGUACAAGAAUGCUGUCAUAUAGUUUGUAAAAGAUUAUCAUAUCGAUUACAUCUUUGGAGCAUCACAACAGUCUCAUGAGGUGGGUAAUGGUUGUUAUCUCUGGAGAGUUCAGAAAACCAAAGUUCAAAGAGGGAGGUUUUUUGUGCUUGCUUAUGGUAAAACUACCAGCAAGUGGCAGCAUUAAAAGACCGUACCACUGGUAAAAGGCAUAGGGGGUUCCCUAAAACUCGAAACAGAGGAGUUUAAUGAAUGGCUGUCUUUGUUGUCUAGACCCGAGGGAGGGACAAGACAGUGGACUUUAAAGAACAGCUGCACGUGGAGCUGUGACUGUCAUCCACACACUCAGAUAAAUGGUUGGCUCAUUAUUGCAGCUGCUGCUGGCUUUAGGGAGCUGGACAGCUGUUGCCAGGAGAUGGAUUCAAACAGAACAGAGAAAACGGAAUCCUGUGAUAAUGACUGUGCCUGUAUGUAUGGACACGAUGUUCUUUCUUCUCAUAGCUCAAAAUGUUCUAAAGAUAAAAUCUAAUGAUUUCUUAUAGGAAGGCUAGGCUUGGUGGGUACAAGUAAGAAAGCCAAGCAGAGAGAAGCUUCCUGGUCCUUCUCCACCUUUCCCUUUCCUCCAGUCUGGACUUUGCCUUCUCCACCUCCUUGGAAGACAGGCUGCUCAUCCCAUUGUGGUGUCUCGGCUGGUGUAUGUUUUCUGCCUAGGCUUAAUGGACAGCACGAGGAGGUAGGGACUGACGUUACCCAUGUUUUACAGUGGAAGAACCUGAGGCUUAAAGAGAUCCUGAGCUUUAAAAUAGCUAGCCAAACGAAAACACCAAUGGAGACUCUUUGGAAGGGACUGUGCUCAGUCUGAGGACCCAGAGCCAAGUCACAGACAUGACCUCAAAAGCCAGUACUGUGCUCUUCCACAUGGCAUCCACUGGCCACGUGUGGUGAUUUAACAUGUGAAAUGAAGUCUCAAGGCUGAGAUGUGAUGCGAGUGUAUAAUACACACUAGA